rnacentral:rRNA from 1 species
GAUGAACGCUGGCGGCGUGCCUAAUACAUGCAAGUCGAGCGAACAGACGAGGAGCUUGCUCCUCUGACGUUAGCGGCGGACGGGUGAGUAACACGUGGAUAACCUACCUAUAAGACUGGGAUAACUUCGGGAAACCGGAGAUUAUACCGUAUAAUAUAUUGAACCGCAUGGUUCAUUAGUGAAAGUCGGUUUUGCUGGAACUUCUAGAUGCAUCUGCGCCGCAUUAGCUAGUUGGUAAGGUAACGGCUUUUCAAGGGAACGAUGCGUAGCCGACCUGACGGGGUGAUCGGCCACACUGGAACUGAGACACGGUCCAGGCUCCUACGAGAGGCAGCAGUAGGGAAUCUUCCGCAAUGGGCGAAAGCCUGACGGAGCAACGCCGCGUGAGUGAUGAAGGUCUUCGGAUCGUAAAACUCUGUUAUUAGGGAAGAACAAAUGUGUAAGUAACUAUGCACGUCUUGACGGUACCUAAUCAGAAAGCCACGGCUAACUACGUG